CCCAUCAGCUAGUUGGUGAGGUAAGAGCUCACCAAGGCGAAGACGGGUAGCUGGUCUGAGAGGAUGAUCAGCCACACUGGAACUGAGACACGGUCCAGACUCCUACGGGAGGCAGCAGUGGGGAAUAUUGCGCAAUGGGCGAAAGCCUGACGCAGCCACGCCGCGUGAGCGAUGAAGGCCUUCGGGUCGUAAAGCUCUGUGGGGAGAGAAGAAUAAAGCCUGUGAAGAAUGGGCCUUGACGGUAUCUCCUUAGCAAGCACCGGCUAACUCCGUGCCAGCAGCCGCGGUAAUACGGAGGGUGCAAACGUUGCUCGGAAUCAUUGGGCGUAAAGCGCACGUAGGCGGCGAAGCAAGUCGGGUGUGAAAGCCCUGGGCUCAACCCAGGAAGUGCAUUCGAAACUAUUUCGCUUGAAUCUCGGAGGGGGUCAGAGAAUUCCCGGUGUAGAGGUGAAAUUCGUAGAUAUCGGGAGGAAUACCAGUGGCGAAGGCG
rnacentral:rRNA from 1 species